rnacentral:lncRNA from 1 species
GCCCUCAAGGCCACCCUCUGUGGAGAGGACAGGACUUCACUUUCCUGUGCAUUCACCAAGAGGAUCUAUGUGUGAACUCUGACCUUGGCCCCAUUUUGAGGCAAGAUGAUGAGCAUCCCAAGGCCACCUGCGGUGGCCAGGGAGAGGAGAGGCUGUGGGCUGAGAUCCCUGCGCGUCCUCUGCCGGCUGAGACCCGUGACUGUGACCCCCGGCCUCCCCCAGGGCAGCGCGCAGCUGAUGGGACGGCUGUCCGGGGAACCCCCACGCCUGGCGGGGCUCUCACGGCCUCUGUUUUAC